rnacentral:lncRNA from 1 species
GUUUGGAUAUAUAUUCCUCCCUGGGUCUGCCCCAUUUUAUGGGGUGUUGCUUAAUCAUUUGCAUUCUUCCAUUGACAUAAAAUAUUUAGCACUCAGAGAUCAUUUCUGGUCAGGAGAAAUUUGUGCAUUUUUAAUCCAAAAUAGAAACCUUCAUAAAAGCAUCAUAGGUCUCCAUUCAAUAUUGACUAUAAUUGUUCACAUGCCCACGCUGAAUGCUAACUUGGGCUCACCCUCAACACCCACGAGGUGGGUACUAUUAUUAUCACUCACAUUUGACCAGAGGGAUUGUUUGAUUAGGGUGAAGUAGUUGAGAGUUCAGACCCAGGAGACAGCCUGCCUGCUUCGAAUCCUGGCCCAACCCCUUGCCCUGUGUGACCUUGGGCAAGUGACUGCAUCUCUCUGUGCUAUUGUUUUCUUAUUAAUGGGGGAUAUAAUGAUACCUACCUCUUAGGGUUGUUGUCAGCGUUGAGUACAAAAGCCUGUGGAUCAGUGCCUGGCUCAUGGUAAAUGCAUGUCGGUGUUAGCUAGUGUUUUAUUCAGUCUCAAAAUGUUUAAUAAAUGCCUUCCGUGAGCCAGGCACCAUGGAUCAGCAGUACCCAUGAUAGAUGAGGCUCUGCUUGCAUGGGAGAGCCAGAGAAUAAACAGAUAAAUGAAUAAACAAGAAAAGACCAGAUGAGAGUGGCUUUAAAGCCAAUAAAACAGGGAAAUGGUGAAUGGAGCAACUGGGGAGAAGAGUCACCAAAGUCAGGGAAUCAUGGAAGCUUUCCCCAAAGAGGUGGCAUUUGAACUGGGGCCUGAGUGGUGAAGCAGCCAGCCAUGGGAAGGGUUUGGGGAACAGGAUAUGCAAAGGCCCUGUGGUGGAAACAAGCCAGCUGUGGUUGAGGAACAACAGCAAGGCAGCCAGUGUGGCUGGAGUGGAGUGAGCAGGGUGGGCCAGGGGUGAGGGAGAACAGGCCAGAGAGAGGGAUUAGCACCAGGUCUUGUAGGGCUUUUUAUGGCAUAGAAGGAGCUCUGAAGCAAUGAAGUGCCUUGCCGUGUGCCACAUGCCAGCCGAGACAGUCUGCCUAACUCGGGAGCCAAAGUUCGCUGCUGGGCUUGAGGCCCCUAUAAGAGGACAAUGUAACCCAGGCUGGUAUGGGCACAUUCUGCAUUUCCACUUAAACUCAGAUGGCAAGCCCAUCAAACCUUGGUGCCAUGGCUGCCCUGGUAAUUCCUGGCUGACCAGUGCAACCAGGGAGCUGGCCCAUGACCUGGGUGGCAGCUGAGUAGCCAGGACUCAUGCGGCCAAGAGUCAGCCUUCUUCCUGUGACUCAUCCAGGUGCACCCUGCGACAUCUGAAGGUCAGGCUUUCAGCCGCUGUGGCUUCCACUUCCAACUGGCUCCACGUCCCCAGGGAGGGAUCACAUAGAGCUUUGCCAACACAUUCUAUUGCGUGUUUUAAUGUUCCUGUGAAUGCGCCCUUGAGAUUUCUCCCUCCCCCGUCCACACUGAGCUUAGAAGCAAAGUUAAGAGACUCAUCAGAUUCUGAGCUGCUGCGGGAUAUUUUGCAGAAGACUGUGAAGCAUCCUGUGUGUGUGUGAAGCACCCGCCGUCAGUCAAGUAUGCCCGGUGCUUUCUCUCAGAACUCAUCAAAAAGGUCAGUUAUGGGCAGUGUCCGCCCAGUAGCCGGACAGCAUAGCCACCUGCGUGCUGGAGCCCCCGUCCUUCCCAGGCCCUGGGCCUGCUUUGCAAACCCCAGCAUGGCAGGGGCCUCCGCAGGCAACUGGCUGCAGCUGAGUGUGACCCAUGGGAGACAGUGCAGGGUGGGAAGAAGGGGAGGCCAGCGUCUCUCCCUCACUCUGCCUCCUGGGGUUUCCACAGCAGCUGCUUCUCUGGGGCCCCAUCUCCUAGCAUAUGAAUUCUCAUUCCUACCAGGCUGGUCCAGCCCACAACACUGGAACCCUCACUCACACCCUCUGUCCUGCCCGCCGAAGGGUUUGGAGUUUCCUGCUCUUGUCCGUCUCUGGGUUGCCCCACGGGCCCCUGUUGGAAGAUUUAGCUCUUGCCAUACCUUUGGAACUAGUUCCUCUGGUGAAUUCUCUUCAUUGAUCCUGCUGGAAUGAGCUCUUUCCUGACUGCUAUAGGAUGGAUUUUAUUUUUUACUUGUUUAUUUACUUUUUUGAGACAGUCUCACUGUGGUGCCCAGGCUGGAUUACCGUGGCACAAUCUCGGCUCCCUGAAAUCUCUGCCUCCUGGGUUCAAGCAAUUCUCGUGCCUAGCCUUCUAAGAAGCUGGGACUACAGGCACACGCCACCAUGCCUGGCUAAUUUUUGUAUUUUUAGUAGAAACAGAGUUUCACCAUGUUGGCCAGGCUGGUCUCGAACUCCUGACCUCAGGUGAUCCGCCUGCCUCGGCCUCCCAAAGUGCUGGGAUUACAGGCAUGAGCCACUGCACCUGGCCUAGGAUGGAUUUUAAAGAUGGGCCUGAACAUGCAGGGUUUGACAGGAGGAUGUCGAGAAGCCGUUCCUUAGUAGGCAGUAGCAGACCUGCUGAGUGAAAGGGCCACACUUUUAGCAAAUAAACAAUCCCCUGCUUCUCCAAUACCUGCUUUCUCCCUAGUCCUCCCCAAAAGGGUGCAUCUGUGGUUGCCAGCCGGUCUGCCCUGUGCCACCACGAGAGGGCAGCAGUCACCCAGUGUACCCUGCUGCUGCCUUGUGAAUCCUAGGACGGGGCCAGCUGUGGAGAAGCAGCCUGCUGACAGCCACAGCCUGCAGCAUGGGCCGCCCUCACAGUUCUGCCUGGGCUCACUUAAAAGCACCUUUUGUUUUCCUCCUCUCUGUGUUUGAUCCAAACACAGAGCUCUCUGUCAUGGUCAUGUGGCAGCUCUCACGGAAUCCUUGUCUCCUGCCCUAGACUACACCUAACCCUCCCCUCUCAACACCUCUUGUUGAAGGCCCUCCCGUCCAGGUUUCCCUACGAAGUGGAAUUAUUUUUUUUUAGAGACAAGAUCUCUGUUGCCCAGGCUGUCCUCGAACUCCUGGGCUCAAGCAGUCCUCCCAUGUCAGCCUCUAGAGCAGCUGGAACUAUUCGACACACACCACCACGCCCAACGAAGUGAAUAUUUUAUAUACCAGCUGGCCGGUAUUACACCAUUCCAUCCCAAAUCUCCCCUCCAAACUUGGUGAAAAUCAUCUGGCCAUUUUUACAGAUUAGUACGAAAGCAAACAAGCUCUCACUCUGUAUGCCCCCAGCACGAGGCUGUCCACACGGAGCCUUUGGACGAGCUGUACGAGGGGCUGGCAGAGACUCUGAUGGUCAAGGAGUCCACCCAGGGCCACCGGAGCUAUUUGCUGGUAUGAGAAGGGCACCCUCCUCCCCCUCACAGCCCAGAUACCCUUCCUGCACAGAAAAAGUGAAAACGUGGGUGUGGGUUCAAAUCCUGACUCACCCAUUCUGCAGUCUUAGACAUGAGGUCCAUUAACCUUCUUUAGCCUCAGUUUCCCUGUCUGUAAAUCAAGCACUUCAACAACAACAGCAUGUCUCGUGGGGUUGUUGGGCAUUUGUCCAAUAGGUGACACACACUACCUGCUUCACAAGGACCU